AAAAAAAUGGUUUAAUGGUAUAACUCUUCCUUAGGGUGGGAGAGGUCCUAGGUCCGAUUCCCAGUGAGCCCAAUUCUUUG